UUUUGGGGAGGGGAGACAGCCCAGAGAAGGCUUUGGAGACCCUUGAGUCGGCCAGCGAGCAGGGUUUCUUACUUGAGCGCCUCCACAAAUAAACGCUCCUUCGCUCCUCCGUCGCGUGCGUUUCCCUGGGAUAAUAAGUGGGAAAGUGGUGGCUUUUAUUUUUUUGAGACAGGGUCUCACCGCCGUCGCCCAGGCCGGAUGGAGUGCAGUGGCGCGAUCACGGCUCACUGCAGCCUCGACUUCCCAGGCUCAGAGAUGGGUUUCACCAUGUUUCCCAGCCUUGUCUCAAACUCCUGACCUCAAGUGAUCCGCCGUCUUGGGUCUUCGAAAGUGCUGGGACAGCAGGAGUGAGCCACCGCAUCUGGCCCGGAAAGUGUUUUGGAGCGUAGAAAAAUGCAAAUUAUAGGGCUGCCUUCAAGGAUCCCGAAGGACCCACAGAUUUGCCGCAUCAGGCUCCUAUGCACGCCGGAUAUGGGCUGUUUGAAAACUAUUUCAUCAUCUUUAUCAUCAUCAUUCAGUUCAGCCACUUGAGAUUUUCGCCUCUCCAAAAAUGUUGGUGUACAAACUGGUGUGGGGCCCUGGAUUCAACAAGUAAAGAUUAUAAUACAUAAAUGUAAAACAUGAUUAUGACUUUACCCAAAAAUAUCAUCUCUCCUCUAUUUUUACAAGUUGUGCCCCAUUAUUUUAGCUCUGUUACCAUCUUUUGGUGAUACUAUUGCAAAGAAUAAAGAACUUAGAUGCUUAUCAAACUUGGUACAGAAAUUCACAAUUAACAAAUAUAGCAUGUUCCAUUAUAAGGUUUUAGGCAGAAAAUUGCUAAAUCAACAAUAAAGAUCUACCAAAUGUCACAAUAUUUAAUUUGAAAUCUUAAAAUGAGAGUAGCAGAAACUGCUUCUCCUCCUUCAAAUUAUUUCUAUAAUAUCUGGUGUCUGGAGUAUUGAAAACCAUUUUACCUGGCUAUCCACAGUCUUCUCAGGAGUGUCAAGAGUACCUGAAACUUUUUUCUUCUUCUUACGUAAAACCUUAAAAUAAAUUUUAAAACACAUCAAUUUGAAUAUUGAUCAGCUACAGUAGUCUUGAAUAUGUUUUCCUACUUAUCCUUCUCUAAUAUCUUGCAUGUAAAAUGAUAAAAAAAAUUUUACCUGGCCUUUUGUAGACGUCUGACGAUUAGUUUUUGAAAUACUUUCCGUUUUCUGUAAAAUCUUUAAUAAAGAAGUUAGAAAUUGA
rnacentral:lncRNA from 1 species